AGAAGGGAGAAAGCUUAAGGGGAAGGGUGUGAAGCAUGGUCAGGGCCUGAAACUCUCUCCAUCUUCAGCUCCAGGGGCCUGGCCAUACCAAAAAAACAUAGGCAAGAAUGACAUCUAAGCAGCAGAGAAGCACAUCCAUUGAACAGACAAAGCCACAGGAAAGAGAUUUGCUAAUCACUGAGACCCUGUGGGAGCAGGUGCUAAUGGCCUUUAAAGGAAUACAAAAGGAGCUUCAGGAAGAUGCUCGGAUUCGAGGCAUGAGUACCCGUUCUAUGGCACUCGUCCCACCUGUCCCCCCCAAGACUGGAAGCUUCAAGCCUCCAGAUCUCUCUACACACAUCCCCAAAUAAGAAUCACAGCUCAAAUUCUGGAGAGAAGUCAUCGGAAGCCCAUUCCUACCCCGCAAGGAUGCAACCCCGUGACCAGCCAGCCUUCUACCCUAGACUUUAAACUUUGUCAUCAAGGAAUGUCUCCUGUGUUUCUUCCAGGGCCCAGCUCAGUCGCCUGAUACUCAAAGGCAGUGAGACAGACACCAUCAUUGACAGAAUCUACCAGCAUCGACUGUGAACUUGGACAUCACUUGAGAGCCAGGCACAUCCUAACUGCCAAGCAAAGAAUCCAGCAGAUAAACAAUGGAGGAAAUAAAUGUGAUGUAAAACAAAGACCUUGAACAAAUAAACACAGGAUAUUAAAUAACUCUGAGGCAUAGCAUGUAAUCCUAUGGAGUAAGAAUAUGUCACACAGCCAAUGCAACUAUAACUCACUAGAGCAAUAUAAAAGUCAAAGGACAACCUAAGAAGGAGGAGGAGGAGGAAGAGAAGGAA